rnacentral:rRNA from 1 species
GACGAACGCUGGCGGCGUGCCUAAUACAUGCAAGUAGAACGCUGAAGAGAGGAGCUUGCUCUUCUUGGAUGAGUUGCGAACGGGUGAGUAACGCGUAGGUAACCUGCCUUGUAGCGGGGGAUAACUAUUGGAAACGAUAGCUAAUACCGCAUAACAAUGGAUGACCCAUGUCAUUUAUUUGAAAGGGGCAAAUGCUCCACUACAAGAUGGACCUGCGUUGUAUUAGCUAGUAGGUGAGGUAACGGCUCACCUAGGCGACGAUACAUAGCCGACCUGAGAGGGUGAUCGGCCACACUGGGACUGAGACACGGCCCAGACUCCUACGGGAGGCAGCAGUAGGGAAUCUUCGGCAAUGGGGGCAACCCUGACCGAGCAACGCCGCGUGAGUGAAGAAGGUUUUCGGAUCGUAAAGCUCUGUUGUAAGUCAAGAACGAGUGUGAGAGUGGAAAGUUCACACUGUGACGGUAGCUUACCAGAAAGGGACGGCUAACUACGUGCCAGCAGCCGCGGUAAUACGUAGGUCCCGAGCGUUGUCCGGAUUUAUUGGGCGUAAAGCGAGCGCAGGCGGUUUGAUAAGUCUGAAGUUAAAGGCUGUGGCUCAACCAUAGUUCGCUUUGGAAACUGUCAAACUUGAGUGCAGAAGGGGAGAGUGGAAUUCCAUGUGUAGCGGUGAAAUGCGUAGAUAUAUGGAGGAACACCGGUGGCGAAAGCGGCUCUCUGGUCUGUAACUGACGCUGAGGCUCGAAAGCGUGGGGAGCGAACAGGAUUAGAUACCCUGGUAGUCCACGCCGUAAACGAUGAGUGCUAGGUGUUGGAUCCUUUCCGGGAUUCAGUGCCGCAGCUAACGCAUUAAGCACUCCGCCUGGGGAGUACGACCGCAAGGUUGAAACUCAAAGGAAUUGACGGGGGCCCGCACAAGCGGUGGAGCAUGUGGUUUAAUUCGAAGCAACGCGAAGAACCUUACCAGGUCUUGACAUCCCGAUGCUAUUUCUAGAGAUAGAAAGUUACUUCGGUACAUCGGUGACAGGUGGUGCAUGGUUGUCGUCAGCUCGUGUCGUGAGAUGUUGGGUUAAGUCCCGCAACGAGCGCAACCCCUAUUGUUAGUUGCCAUCAUUCAGUUGGGCACUCUAGCGAGACUGCCGGUAAUAAACCGGAGGAAGGUGGGGAUGACGUCAAAUCAUCAUGCCCCUUAUGACCUGGGCUACACACGUGCUACAAUGGUUGGUACAACGAGUUGCGAGUCGGUGACGGCAAGCUAAUCUCUUAAAGCCAAUCUCAGUCCGGAUUGUAGGCUGCAACUCGCCUACAUGAAGUCGGAAUCGCUAGUAAUCGCGGAUCAGCACGCCGCGGUGAAUACGUUCCCGGGCCU